UACGUAGGGUGCAAGCGUUAAUCGGAAUUACUGGGCGUAAAGCGUGCGAAGGCGGUUGUGCAAGACCGAUGUGAAAUCCCCGGGCUUAACCUGGGAAUGGCAUUGGUGACUGCACGGCUAGAGUGUGUCAGAGGGGGGUAGAAUUCCACGUGUAGCAGUGAAAUGCGUAGAGAUGUGGAGGAAUACCGAUGGCGAAGGCAGCCCCCUGGGAUAACACUGACGCUCAUGCACGAAAGCGUGGGGGGCAAACAGG
rnacentral:rRNA from 1 species